ensembl:lncRNA
GGAAAGGUGGUGUCAAGUAAGAAGAACGCCCUUGGAAAGCCCAGUGAGCACAAGAGACAACUGAUACCAAGCCCAUAGGACCUCCACAAGCGUGGGAAUCAUCUCAGGGUCGACAGUUUGCCAGACACAGGAAGGAGCAGAUCUUGGCAUCCAUCUGUGGGUGUGGGUUCCUGCUGUGUCCACCAAGAGCCUCAAUACAGUCCUUGCACUCCUCAGCAGGGUCACAACAUUCCACUUCCACCUGCUGGACUCAAGACAAGACAAGCAGAGAUCACCUUCAGUGACCCAACCGCAGACUGCUGUGUGUUGACCAAGGGUGAUGCCAGAAGAAGAGGUGGGCUCCAAAAGAGGCUGCUGGUGGCAGUGGAGUUUUACAUCCCUCCCGAGCGGUGCAAGGACUCUGCUGAGGCUCUUGGGGAACACAGCAGGAACCCACAGCCAGAGAUGGACGCCAGGAUCCGCUCCUUCCUGUGUCUGGCAAGCUCUGUUGACCACUGAGGUCAUUCCCACGCUUGCAGUGGCUGAAAAUGGACGCCUGAUGGUAUCUAUGAUGCCCCAAAUGCAAUCUUGUAAGGUUUGGCCAAGUGUGGUGGGAAAGGAAGAGGAUUGCAGAGACGACCACCGGGUGCCAUUUGCACUUCCUGACCUCCCUGGGUGGUAGCGUUGGAAGUGCCUGGACCCUUGGAAAGGGCUAAGUGAUUCCUUCAUUAUUACCUGAAUGCAGUUUGUGUUCAACAGGUGUCGGUGGAGAACUGCGCCCUUUUGAUGGGCGCAAAGAGUGUAUUGUGACUCUAGGUGGGCAAAACAGGAACGCAGAGCCAGAGAUGGACACCAAGAUGCAUUCCUUCCUCUGUCUGGCAAGCUUUCUUGACCCUGAGGUGGCUCCCACGCUUGCAGAGGGCCUUUGGGCUUGGUGUCCGUUGUCCCUUGUGCUCACUGGGCUUUCCAAGGGUGUUCCUCUUACUUGACACCACCUUUCCCACUCUCUAUUUCCAAGCAGGAGCUCCCCUUGGCCUCCGCGUCUCGCUCUGGCCAGGCAGAUGUGGUGUGCCAACGGAUCAAAGCCUUCAGAAUCCAACCAAAG